CCUACGGGUGGCAGCAGUGGGGGAUAUUGCACAAUGGGGGAAACCCUGAUGCAGCGACGCCGCGUGGGCGAAGAAGUAUUUCGGUAUGUAAAGCCUUAUUAGCAGGGAAGAAGAAAUGACGGUACCUGAGUAAGAAGCACCGGCUAAAUACGUGCCAGCAGCCGCGGUAAUACGUAUGGUGCAAGCGUUAUCCGGAUUUACUGGGUGUAAAGGGAGCGCAGGCGGGACGGCAAGCCUGAUGUGAAAGCCCGCGGCCCAACCGCGGGACUGCAUUGGGAACUACCGGGCUGGAGUACCGGAGAGGUAGGCGGAAUUCCUAGUGUAGCGGUGAAAUGCGUAGAUAUUAGGAGGAACACCAAUGGCGAAGGCAGCCUACUAAACGGUGACUGACGCUGAGGCUCGAAAGCGUGGGGAGCAAACAGGAUUAGAUACCCCAGUAGUC
rnacentral:rRNA from 1 species